CUCUUUCCAUCCCAUGGUGAGAAAUUCAUUCCUGCCACUCCCCAAGAGAUUAUGGAAACAUUUUACAAGGCACUCAACUCAUGGAUUCCUUCCACCAGUGGCCAUGAAGGGGAGUAUGGUUGAUAUAUUUUGUUAGCUGAUGUAGCUAUCUGCACUAUGUUCCUUUAACUUCUCAGAACAUUCCUGCCCCUUCAGUUCAACAGCCAUCUGAAGCCCACCUGCGAGCUGGUCCAGGAAAUGAUGGACUCUGAUUUCCACACCCCUUUCCUGUGAACUUGUCUCCAAUUUAGUCUGUCAAGGUCCCUUUCUUGUGAGUUAAUUUCUCCCUAGUGCUACUUCUCAGAUUGGCCAGUGACUCACAGAGUGGCACAAGUACAAAUCCAGCCUGACUUGCAUCCAACUCAGAUUCCAGGACCACUGAAACCAGCUGAGGCAUCCCGAAAGCCUAAGAUUGACCACACCAGAGGAACCAGACUGCCAUUCACAAGGAUGGAAAUUAUCUGGUCCCACCCCUGGAUAUGAUCAACCUUCAUAGACUGUGCAUUAUACAUGUAGCCAUCUCUGCGACCUGCAAAGAUGAAAAGGGAAAGCAGGAGAUGGAAACUGGUCAGCAGCCUUCUGGUUUAUCAGCCACACUUACAAAGGUCAAAUGUGCAAAGCGUCAGAAGACAGUGGUUAGAGUGAGAUUCUACAUGCUCUCAAUGAAGAAUAAAGGUAAGUUCAAUAUUUCAUGAAACAAAAAGUUUUUUAAGUUAUUAUAAAGGAAUGUUUCCAUAGCUACU
rnacentral:lncRNA from 1 species